rnacentral:tRNA from 1 species
GUCGGCGUAAAGCAGCCCGGUAGCUCGCCAGUCCCAAGCUGGAGGUCUCAAGUUCGAAUCUUGCCACCGCG